rnacentral:tRNA from 1 species
AUUAGCUUGGUAUAAACCCCAACACGUCGGACUUUCAAGCCGAAAAUGCUGACUAACAGUAGCUAACUU